UACAGAGGGUGCAAGCGUUAUCCGGAUUCACUGGGUUUAAAGGGUGCGUAGGAGGGCAGGUAAGUCAGCGGUGAAAUCCUAGAGCUUAACUCUAGAACUGCCAUUGAUACUAUCUGUCUUGAAUAUUGUGGAGGUGAGCGGAAUAUGUCAUGUAGCGGUGAAAUGCUUAGAUAUGACAUAGAACACCAAUUGCGAAGGCAGCUCGCUACACAUAUAUUGACUCUGAGGCACGAAAGCGUGGGGAUCAAACAGG
rnacentral:rRNA from 1 species